rnacentral:rRNA from 1 species
CCUACGGGUGGCAGCAGUGGGGAAUAUUGGACAAUGGACCAAGAGUCUGAUCCAGCAAUUCUGUGUGCACGAUGAAGUUUUUCGGAAUGUAAAGUGCUUUCAGUUGGGAAGAAAGAAAUGACGGUACCAACAGAAGAAGUGACGGCUAAAUACGUGCCAGCAGCCGCGGUAAUACGUAUGUCACGAGCGUUAUCCGGAUUUAUUGGGCGUAAAGCGCGUCUAGGUGGUUAUGUAAGUCUGAUGUGAAAAUGCAGGGCUCAACUCUGUAUUGCGUUGGAAACUGUAUAACUAGAGUACUGGAGAGGUAAGCGGAACUACAAGUGUAGAGGUGAAAUUCGUAGAUAUUUGUAGGAAUGCCGAUGGGGAAGCCAGCUUACUGGACAGAUACUGACGCUGAAGCGCGAAAGCGUGGGUAGCAAACAGGAUUAGAUACCCCAGUAGUC